CGGGGAAUUAGGGUUCGAUUCCGGAGAGGGAGCCUGAGAAACGGCUACCACAUCUAAGGAAGGCAGCAGGCGCGCAAAUUACCCAAUCCUGACUCAGGGAGGUAGUGACAAGAAAUAACAACACUGGAGAUUUUAUCUCUAGUGAUUGGAAUGAUGGGAAUUUAAACCCCUUUCAGAGUAACAAUUGGAGGGCAAGUCUGGUGCCAGCAGCCGCGGUAAUUCCAGCUCCAAUAGCGUAUAUUAAAGUUGUUGCAGUUAAAAAGCUCGUAGUUGGAUAUCUGCCGGAAGCAACCAGUCCGCUCUUUUAGGGUGUGCACUUGGUGAAUUCUGGCAUCCUCCUGAGAAAUGUUAUCAGUACUUCACGGUAUUGGUAGCAAUUUUCAGGACCGUUACUUUGAGAAAAUUAGAGUGUUUCAAGCAGGCUUAUUGCCUUGAAUACUGCAGCAUGGAAUAACAAGAUAGGAUUUCGGUUCUAUUUUGUUGGUUUCUAGAACUGAAGUAAUGAUUAAUAGGGACAGUUGGGGGCAUUCGUAUUUAACUGUCAGAGGUGAA
rnacentral:rRNA from 1 species